GCUUCACCAACACCUGUCCUGGGUAGAGGAGAGCCUGGUCCAAGACCUGUUUCUGCCCCCGGUCUACUCAUCACUCCUAAACCUGAGCAGGAACAGACUGGUAACCAGGCUAUCGCCGAGGGGGGGUGGCUUGUUGAGUCAGUAGAACAAGAAAAGGCUGGUGAUCAAAAUAACAUUAUGCUUCUCUGGUCGUUAUUCCACCUGUCUACUAGAGGGACAUCUUGUCAACACUGGAAGGAAAAUAAAGAGGAAUAUUAUUUAAACAAUAAAUCUAAAACUAAAAUGUAACGUGUUUGAACAACUGCGUUGAUUUAUCACAUUUCUAGGCUGAAACUGUAGUUUAAUCCGUGCUUGGCUAAAGCAUAAGGAACAUAUUUCAUCGUGCACAGUGUGACAGUGAAAUGGUUGUAGAUUACAUCCAAACUGUAUGAACACCGAGCGCCCUUCUAAAAUAAAAAUAAAAAUCAGAAAUCCGCUCAUUCAGUGAAGGGAGAUUUGAGUAAAGGGAAAAACAUCUCCUCCAGUACUGACCAGAUUCAAAAACUUAAAAAAAGAUGCUUAAUCUCACAUCGUCAUCCUCAACAUGUCAACCAGCCUUUCAAACUUGUUUUUUUUUUUAAAACAAUCUAUUAAAAAUGAAAUUAAGUAUAUACAAAGUGUACAGGGUGCCAAGAUGGUUUAGCAGGUGGCACAUCAACGAGAAUAAAGUGGAGUGACCAACUGCCCAUCCAGAAGAACGUCAAACUGCAACGGGACAACACCCAUUUCUUCUCGUUUUGCAUCGUACGGUAGGUAGGUAAAGUCCUCCUGAACAGGAAGGAAUCCCCGGAGACUCCGGAAGGGUGGAGCUACUUUACGUUCCAGUUCUAGAAUAGAUCAGUUCUUAGUGUUCUGAUUGUGAAGCUUGGAGGGGGAGGAACGUUAGAGGGGUUCUUAUAAUGAACUAGUCUGCACUCUGGCUGCCUUCCAAUAGGAGCCUCUGAACAUCGUGCUCCUUGGUCAUCUUCAUGCAGGGGCUUUUCUCCACCGCGGUUUAUCUUCAUAUAGUUGUCAUUUAUUCUGGGGCACUGCAGCCAAGCCAACAGCGGAACAUACAUCAUCCACCCUCUUAUCCAACUAUAGAAAAACAGCCUAAACCUUGAUGCCUUAAUGCAAUGUGUCUCACUGAACAUCAAAAAGGUGGGUAAGGAUGGGUGUUGAUUCAAAGUGUGGAACAUAAAAGUGUUGUUACGUGAGGAGUCACACCGUGGGUGGACGGAUGUUUCCGCAGGGACGAGAUGAGACGGAGAACGGGUUAUUACUUCAGAACAAGUUCAGCUGCUUGUUAAGGCACUUCAUACAAAGAGCUAAAAACAAAAAAAGGACAAAAUAAAAGAGGUGGAGAAAUUAAGGGAUGAGAUAAAAGGUGGGUAGAGGUGCUGGACUGGAAAGGAGAGAGGGCUCAGGGAGGGAGAGAGGGCUCAGGGAGGGAGAGAGGGCUCAGGGAGGGAGAGAGGGCUCAGGGAGGGCUCAGGGAGGGAGAGAGGGCUCAGGGAGGGCUCAGGGAGGGAGAGAGGGCUCAGGGAGGGAGGGAG
rnacentral:lncRNA from 8 species